GAUGAACGCUAGCGGCAGGCUUAAUACAUGCAAGUCGAGGGGCAGCAUGACUGUAGCAAUACAGUUGAUGGCGACCGGCAAACGGGUGCGGAACACGUACAGAACCUUCCUUCGAGCGGGGAAUAGCCCAGAGAAAUUUGGAUUAAUACCCCAUAGUAUAUUUGAAAGGCAUCUUUUAAAUAUUAAAGAUUUAUCACUUGAAGAUGGCUGUGCGGCUGAUUAGGUAGUUGGCGGGGUAACGGCCCACCAAGCCUGCGAUCAGUAACUGGUGUGAGAGCACGACCAGUCACACGGGCACUGAGACACGGGCCCGACUCCUACGGGAGGCAGCAGUAAGGAAUAUUGGUCAAUGGACGAAAGUCUGAACCAGCCAUGCUGCGUGGAGGAUGAAGGUCCUCUGGAUUGUAAACUUCUUUUAUAUGGGACGAAAAAAGGCUUUUCUAAGUCGUCUGACGGUACCAUAUGGAUAAGCACCGGCUAACUCCGUGCCAGCAGCCGCCGCAG
rnacentral:rRNA from 1 species